rnacentral:misc_RNA from 1 species
GAUGAAGAACGUAGCGAAAUGCGAUAAGUAAUGUGAAUUGCAGAAUUCAGUGAAUCAUCGAAUCUUUGAACGCACCUUGCGCUCCUUGGUAUUCCUUGGAGCAUGCCUGUCUGAGUAUCAUGAAAUCCUCAAAAUAUAUCUUUCGUUCAUUCGAUUGGUUUUAUUUUGGACUUGGAGGUCUGCAGAUUCACGUCUGCUCCUCUCAAAUGCAUUAGCUGGAUCUCAGUGAGCUCGGUUCCACUCGGCGUGAUAAGUAUCACUCGCUGAGGACACUGUAAAAAGUGGCCGGGAUUGCAGAUGAACCGCUUCUAAUCGUCUAUUAGCUUAGACAAUUAAAUCUUAUGAUCUGAUCUCAAAUCAGGUAGGACUACCCGCUGAACUUAAGCAUAUCAAUAAGCGGAGGA